CGGGAAGCAAGGCGUACGACAGGUCCCCAAACCCUGCGGCCUGCGCGGAAUUCCUGCAUUGUCAUUGCCGGCCCACCCACUGUUCAGGCUGAGAGCGGUCCCCCGCCCAAACCGGCGCUUCGCCGGCGCCAAGAUAGAAAUGGGUCGCCCGGCUGGUAAAGAGGCUGCCCUGCAACCCUGGGCUGGAGUAUUGCUGUGGUCCUGGAUUUCUGGACUUUAUUUGCGUUCUCAAGUGGCGAAGUGUUCCUCAACCUGGACCCACAUCAGAAGCAGGUUCUCCGAGCCCCUAAGCAGCGGCGUGACAAAGGAUUUUUAUCAAGUGGACCCUCACAGAACAUCAUAUCUUAGUGAGAGGUGACAGCGUGCUGGCAGCUCUCGCUCGCUCUCGGCACCUCCUCUGCCUGGACUCCCACUUUGGUGGCACUUGAGGAGCCCUUCAGCCCACCGCUGCACUGUAGGAGCCCCCUUCUGGGCUGGCCAAGGCCGGAGCUGGCUCCCUCAGCUUGCAGGGAGGUAUGGAGGGAGAGGCGCGAGCGGGAACCGGGGCUGCGCGCAGCGCUUGCAGGCCAGCUGGAGUUCCGGGUGGGCGUGGGCUUGGCGGGCCCCGCACUCGGAGCAGCCGGCCGGCCCUGCUGGCCGGGCAAUGAGGGGCUUAGCACCUGGGCCAGCGGCUGCGGAGGGUGUGCUGGGUCCCCCAGCAGUGCCGGCCCACCGGCGCUGUGCUUGAUUUCUCGCCGGUCCUUAGCUGCCUUCUCUCAGGGCAGGCCUCGGGACCUGCCGCCCACCAUGCCUGAGCCUCCCCGACGAGCGCUGCCCCCUGCUCCCCGACGCCCAGUCCCAUCGACCACCCAAGGGCUGAGGAGUGAAGGCGCAGGCGCAGGACUGGCAGGCAGCUCCACCUGCGGCCCCAGUGGGGGAUCCACUGGGUGAAGCCAGCUGGGCUCCUGAGUCUGGUGGGGAUUUGGAGAACAUUUAUGUCUAGCUAAGGGAUUGUAAAUACACCAAUUGGCACUCUGUAUCUAGCUCAAAGUUUGUAAACACACCAAUCAGCACCCUGUGUCUAGCUCAGGGUUUGUGAAUGCACCAAUGGACACUCUGUAUCUAGCUAAUCUAGUGGGGGGCCUGGAGAACUUUUGUAUCUAGCUCGGGGAUUGUAAAUGCACCAAUCAGCAGCCUGUCAAAACAGACCAAUCAGCUCUCUGUAAAACAGACCAAUCAGCUCUCUGUAAAAUGGACCAAUCAGCAGGAUGUGGGUGGGGCCAGAUAAGAGAAUAAAAGCAGGCUGCCCAAGCCUGUAGUGGUAACCCACUCGGGUUUGAUUGCCUACUGGGGAAGGUUUGUUUUUUCCUUCUUUGCAAUAAAUGUUGUUGUUGCUCACUUUUUGGGUGCGUGCUGUGUUUAUGAACUGUAACACUUACUGCGGAGGUUUACAGCUUCCUUUCUGAAGUCAGUGAGACCGUGAACCCAGCAGAAGGAGGAAACUGUCUCAGCAUCCG
rnacentral:lncRNA from 1 species